UCUUUUUCCACCGGAGCUUGCUCCACCGGAAAAAGAGGAGUGGCGAACGGGUGAGUAACACGUGGGUAACCUGCCCAUCAGAAGGGGAUAACACUUGGAAACAGGUGCUAAUACCGUAUAACAAUCAAAACCGCAUGGUUUUGAUUUGAAAGGCGCUUUCGGGUGUCGCUGAUGGAUGGACCCGCGGUGCAUUAGCUAGUUGGUGAGGUAACGGCUCACCAAGGCCACGAUGCAUAGCCGACCUGAGAGGGUGAUCGGCCACAUUGGGACUGAGACACGGCCCAAACUCCUACGGGAGGCAGCAGUAGGGAAUCUUCGGCAAUGGACGAAAGUCUGACCGAGCAACGCCGCGUGAGUGAAGAAGGUUUUCGGAUCGUAAAACUCUGUUGUUAGAGAAGAACAAGGAUGAGAGUAACUGUUCAUCCCUUGACGGUAUCUAACCAGAAAGCCACGGCUAACUACGUGCCAGCAGCCGCGGUAAUACGUAGGUGGCGAGCGUUGUCCGGAUUUAUUGGGCGUAAAGCGAGCGCAGGCGGUUUCUUAAGUCUGAUGUGAAAGCCCCCGGCUCAACCGGGGAGGGUCAUUGGAAACUGGG
rnacentral:rRNA from 1 species